rnacentral:rRNA from 1 species
UAGUGGCGAACGGGUGAGUAACACGUGGGCAAUCUGCCCUGCACUCUGGGACAAGCCCUGGAAACGGGGUCUAAUACCGGAUAUGACCAUCUUGGGCAUCCUUGAUGGUGUAAAGCUCCGGCGGUGCAGGAUGAGCCCGCGGCCUAUCAGCUUGUUGGUGAGGUAACGGCUCACCAAGGCGACGACGGGUAGCCGGCCUGAGAGGGCGACCGGCCACACUGGGACUGAGACACGGCCCAGACUCCUACGGGAGGCAGCAGUGGGGAAUAUUGCACAAUGGGCGAAAGCCUGAUGCAGCGACGCCGCGUGAGGGAUGACGGCCUUCGGGUUGUAAACCUCUUUCAGCAGGGAAGAAGCGAAAGUGACGGUACCUGCAGAAGAAGCGCCGGCUAACUACGUGCCAGCAGCCGCGGUAAUACGUAGGGCGCGAGCGUUGUCCGGAAUUAUUGGGCGUAAAGAGCUCGUAGGCGGCUUGUCACGUCGGUUGUGAAAGCCCGGGGCUUAACCCCGGGUCUGCAGUCGAUACGGGCAGGCUAGAGUUCGGUAGGGGAGAUCGGAUUNCUGGUGUAG